rnacentral:rRNA from 1 species
UACGUAGGGUGCGAGCGUUUGUCCGGAAUUAUUGGGCGUAAAGGGCUCGUAGGCGGCCCGCUAAGUCGAACGUGAAAUCCCCGAGCUCAACUCGGGAACUGCGUCCGAUACUGGUGGGCUUGAAUCCGGGAGAGGGAUGCGGAAUUCCAGGUGUAGCGGUGAAAUGCGUAGAUAUCUGGAGGAACACCGGUGGCGAAGGCGGCAUCCUGGACCGGCAUUGACGCUGAGGCGCGAAAGCUAGGGGAGCAAACGGGG